rnacentral:rRNA from 1 species
GUCUGUGCGGAUAAUUUAUGCACAGUCUGGCCUGCCCCCUGAAGUUUAAAGGGCCGCGGUAUUUGGACCGUGCUAAGGUAGCAUAAUAAAUAGUCUUUUAAUUGGAGUCUAGUAUGAAUGGUCGGACAUGAGGUAAGCUGUUUCAGCUUUAGCGACUGAAUUUUACUUUUAAGUGAAAAGGCUUAAAUUAGGCGGUGGGACGAUAAGACCCUAUAAAGCUUACAUUCCGUUCACUGUGCUGGGGAGUUAGGGUUUCUUGUUUUAGUUGGGCGGGCUGUUUCGUUGGGGCGACGGGAAUAAAAUAGUAACUGUUCCUUGCAUAAAAAUAUAUGUUUAUAGGCGAGUUGAUCCUUUUUAGAGAUUAAAAGAUUUAAGUUACUUUAGGGAUAACAGCGUAAUUUCUCUUGAGAGUUCAUAUCGACAGAUGUAGUUGCGACCUCGAUGUUGAAUUAAAAUGCCCCCUAGGUGUAGCAGUUUUGGUGGUAGGUCUGUUCGACCUUUAAAAUUUUACAUGAUUUGAGUUCAGACCGGCGCAAG